UUCACUGGUCAAUAGUCACAACUCGCAACACCAGUAUUUGUUUGGUAUUAAAUAAUACCUCAGCAAAGGGAUUAUGGUUAAUUUGGAACAUCAUUGCUGUUCUGAUAGGAAUAUCCACAUAAACUUAAUACGUGUGUAUCUCUACGGCAGGAUAAAAGAUAAAUAAUUGGAAACUUAAACCUUUCAAAAUGUGUGGAAAAGAUAUAUAUAUGGUGGUUAACUUGGGAUAAACAUGUAUUGAAUGAGGUUUGGCACGCGGAUGAACUUGUGAUUGAUAUAAAGACUAUACCUGAAUAGAUUGAUCAAAAUUUCAGCCGUAGC